AGCUCCAAUAGCGUAUAUUAAAGCUGUUGCAGUUAAAAAGCUCGUAGUUGGAUCUCGGGUUUGGGCUUGCGGUCCACCACGUGUGGUUACUGCUCGUCUCGACCUACCUGCCGGUUUUCUCUUGAUGCUCUUAAGUGAGUGUCUCGAGUGGCCGGAACGUUUACUUUGAAAAAAUUAGAGUGUUCAAGGCAGGCGCGUGCCUGCAUAAUGGUGCAUGGAAUAAUGGAAUAGGACCUCGGUUCUAUUUUGUUGGUUUUCGGAACUCGAGGUAAUGAUUAAGAGGGACAGACGGGGGCAUUCGUAUUACGGUGUUAGAGGUGAAAUUCUUGGAUCGCCGUAAGACGAACUACUGCGAAAGCAUUUGCCAAGAAUGUUUUCA
rnacentral:rRNA from 1 species